AUGGAUCGCUCCCGCUCGAAGCGCGGGUACCACUACGACCAGGACUCGCCGCCGCCCCGCUCCAAGCCCCGAUUCGACCGCCGCGGCGGGGGCGGCGGCCCGAACCCUAACGCCAACUACCACCGCCGCGGACCCCCCGGGGGCGGCGGCGGCGCCUCCGACCGCCGCGGCGGCUUCCUUCCCCCGGACGCCGCACCGCCCCCUCUCCCGCCCCCGCCGCCGCCCGCUUCCUCCGCGGCGGCGGGGGGCGGGGGUCCCGGCCAGACCACCUCCUUCCGCAUCCUGUGCCCGGAGUCCAAGACCUACGGCUUCCCCGCCAGCUUCAUUAACAACGCCCAGGAUGACAGUGGCGCGAUCAUCACUAUCCACCCGCCCUUCCCCGGGGACCCUGUCCGCGUCAUCGAGACGGCCGACGGCGUCCCACGCGAGGCGGAUGGCCGCCCGCCGAUGUUCUCGCCGGCGCAGGAGGCGCUCCUCAUGGUGCACCGGCGGAUCCUGGAGACGCAGCCUGACGACGGCGAUGAGGACGGCGAGUACGGGCCCAGGGGCAAGGACGCCAGGGACCGCGGUAAGGUGACCACCCGGCUCAUCGUGCCGCGGCAGCAUGUGGGAUGCCUGCUUGGCAAGGGUGGCAAGAUCAUCGAGCAGAUGAGGUCCGAGACCAAGACGCACAUCAGGAUCCUGCCUCGCGAGCAGAACAUGCCGCGAUGUGUAUCGUUGUCGGAGGAGGUCGUGCAGGUUGUUGGAGAAGGAAAUUGUGUUAAAAAGGCUGUAGCGAUUAUCUCUGACCGUUUAAAGGAAAGCUUACACCGUGAUCGUGGUCCCUUUCUUCGUGGACGAAAUUCACCCGAGCAUCGUAUUUCUCAGGCUGAUGAAUACCUGGGUGGUGGUCAGCAGAUGCCUGCAUUUGAAGAACCUUAUCCCCGAUUUGAUCAAAUUAGAAAUAAUGGUAGCAUGGAGCCACCAGGAUAUGAGUUUGAUUCAAAUGGUAGCAAGUUCAAUGAACAUCCAGAGAUUCCAUUCGAUGAAAUCAUAUUUCGAAUCCUUUGCCCGAAUGACAAGGCUAGCAGUUUGGUUGGAUCACGAGAUGGAAUAAUAGAUAUGUUACAGGCUGAAGUUGGUGUUGAUGUUAGGCUUACUGAUCUUAUUGCUGGAUCUGACGAAAGGACUCUAAUCAUUACAUCAAGAGAGGGCCCAGACCAUGAGCUUUUUCCAGCUCAAGAAGCAUUGCUGCACAUCCAAACCUUUAUCGUGGAUCUUGGCCCUGACAAGGAUAACAUUAUCACAACGAGGUUACUUGUCCCUUCAAGUGAAAUUGCUUGCUUUGAGGGGAGGGAUGGAUCAUUAUCUGAGAUACAGAGACAAACUAGCGCAAAUAUACAGAUAUUACCAAGAGAAGAACUUCCUUCUUGCGCCCUGGAAUCUGAUGAGCUCAUACAGAUUGUAGGAGAGAUUCGAGCUGCUCGGAAUGCUCUCAUGCAAGUAACUUCAAAACUACGAAGUUACAUAUACCGUGAGAUGUCUGCUCCUAUCCAAAUGGGCAGCCUUAAUGUACAUGGAUCCAUUUCUCCAGCAAAAGGCUCACCUCGACUAUAUGCUGGAAAUGACCUUCCAAUGCCUAUCUACCAACAAGCACCACAAAUGGCAACUUCGUGGCACUCAAAGGAUAGUGGACUUAGUGCAAGUGGAUCGUUUGAGCAAGGGAGCAGCAUUAAUGAUGAUAUAAGACAAACUAAUACAAAGCGAUUUGCUGUCCCCCUAGUGACUAGAAGCACAUUAGAAGUUGUCAUACCCCAGAGUGCAGUUGCAAGCCUCAGCAUGAGAGCUGGAAGCAAGCUUGCCCAAAUAAGCGAGAUGUCUGGUGCGUCCGUCACGCUCGCUGAAGAUAGGCCUGGAGUCAUGGAAAAGGUUGUUAGAAUAUCCGGUACCCCCGAGCAGGCUGACAAAGCUCAGAGCUUGCUCCAGGGGUUCAUACUUAGCAUCCAAGACGACAUUCCUUCGGGCUAA
rnacentral:rRNA from 1 species